UACGAAGGGGGCUAGCGUUGUUCGGAAUCACUGGGCGUAAAGGGCGCGUAGGCGGCCGAUCAAGUCGGGGGUGAAAGCCUGUGGCUCAACCACAGAAUGGCCUUCGAUACUGUUUGGCUUGAGACCGGAAGAGGUCAGUGGAACUGCGAGUGUAGAGGUGAAAUUCGUAGAUAUUCGGAGGAACACCAGUGGCGAAGGCGGCUCACUGGUCCAUUACUGACGCUGAGGAGCGAAAGCGUGGGGAGCGAACAGG
rnacentral:rRNA from 1 species